rnacentral:antisense_RNA from 1 species
GGCAUGGGGACGGGGGGAGUAGGAAAAGUGGCAUGAUGAGGAAAUGGAGGCACAGACUGAUUAGAAAACCAGCUCAAGGUCAUGUUGCUGCUCUCUCAUUCCUGUUGAGGGCUCUCUGGUGGAGCCUCUGUCUCACAGGUCACCUGCAGGCCAACACUCCCAGAAGCAGCUAGCACCAUGGUUGACCUCGUCCAGGUCCAGGGAAGGCCUCCCUCUCCAGGACUCCUUUAGAUUUCCCCAGCAUCCAGACCUCACCUGCCUAAGUGCUGUUGCCCUGGAAGCCACACAGUGAGCACGAGCUCCAUCUUGCCCCUUUACCAGCCAAUGGGGGUAAAGACAUUAGCUGGCCAUGUUCAAUCCCCUCAAGGGAAGCCUGAGACCACAGCUACUGCCUCGAAUCAGAAGCCCCAGCCUCAUCAUCUGGGGCCAGAGAACUAGGGCAGGAGGAGCCAAGUAGCACAGCAGGAAGCAUGAGUCCCUCCGAGGAGAAGCUGGUCUCUGAGAGGAGCACAAAAUG